CAGUAGCCGCGGGAAUACGUAGGGUGCAAGCGUUAAUCGGAAUUACUGGGCGUAAAGCGUGCGCAGGCGGUUAUAUAAGACAGAUGUGAAAUCCCCGGGCUCGACCUGGGGACUGCAUUUGUGACUGUAUAGCUAGAGUACGGCAGAGGGGGAUGGAAUUCCGCGUGUAGCAGUGAAAUGCGUAGAUAUGCGGAGGAACACCGAUGGCGAAGGCAAUCCCCUGGGCCUGUACUGACGCUCAUGCACGAAAGCGUGGGGAGCAAACAGGAUUAGAUACCCGGGUAGUCCCUGUCUCUUAUAA
rnacentral:rRNA from 1 species